rnacentral:sRNA from 1 species
AGGACAGCCGUUGCCCUAGUGGUUUCGGACACACCGCCAACGCUCAGUGCGGUGCUACCGACCCGAGGUCAAGUCCCGGGGGAGGAGAAGAGAGGCUUCCCGCCUAGAGCAUUUGCAAGUCAGGAUUCUCUAAUCCCUCUGGGAGAAGGGUAUUCGGCUUGUCCGCUGUUUUUUUU